rnacentral:lncRNA from 1 species
ACAGAACCGGCACCCCGGCAACAGCGGGGCGGAGGGAAGUAGGCCCCGCCCCGGCGGCAAACCAAAGACAGGUCUUCCUCAUGUUGAGCGGAACAGGAACCCUACCCCCGCCGAGGCCAAUGAGAAAAGACACGGCGGCGUUCAGGGACACCCGCCGGUUUUGCGAGUACCACGAGGACAACGGCCACACGACGGCCGAAUGCCUAAACCUAGCAAAGGUCCUCAACAAAAUGAAACCCGCAAACGGAGCCCCCCAGCCCCGACGACAAGCCGUCCGACGGUAAUAUCCACGGGUCACCAGGCGCCGAAGCAGGAGCCGGCGGACGAAGCCAUAGGGGACAUCCUCACCAUCGCGGGGGGAGGAGCCUCGAGGGGCGACGACCCAUGGGAGGGACGGCGGUACGCGUCCGACGUGGACCGGACAACAGGGGCCAAACGCCCGCGAAUAAACUUGGAAAUCUCGUUCACGGAGGACGACAUGAAGGACAUCACCACACCCCACGACGAUCCCCUAG